rnacentral:rRNA from 2 species
CCCCGCUUGCGGGGUGGAUCAGUGGCGAACGGGUGAGUAACACGUGAGCAACCUGCCCCUGACUCUGGGAUAAGCGCUGGAAACGGCGUCUAAUACUGGAUACGAGACGUGAUCGCAUGGUCAACGUUUGGAAAGAUUUUUCGGUUGGGGAUGGGCUCGCGGCCUAUCAGCUUGUUGGUGAGGUAAUGGCUCACCAAGGCGUCGACGGGUAGCCGGCCUGAGAGGGUGACCGGCCACACUGGGACUGAGACACGGCCCAGACUCCUACGGGAGGCAGCAGUGGGGAAUAUUGCACAAUGGGCGCAAGCCUGAUGCAGCAACGCCGCGUGAGGGAUGACGGCCUUCGGGUUGUAAACCUCUUUUAGCAGGGAAGAAGCGAGAGUGACGGUACCUGCAGAAAAAGCACCGGCUAACUACGUGCCAGCAGCCGCGGUAAUACGUAGGGUGCAAGCGUUAUCCGGAAUUAUUGGGCGUAAAGAGCUCGUAGGCGGUUUGUCGCGUCUGCUGUGAAAUCUGGGGGCUCAACCCCCAGCCUGCAGUGGGUACGGGCAGACUAGAGUGCGGUAGGGGAGAUUGGAAUUCCUGGUGUAGCGGUGGAAUGCGCAGAUAUCAGGAGGAACACCGAUGGCGAAGGCAGAUCUCUGGGCCGUAACUGACGCUGAGGAGCGAAAGGGUGGGGAGCAAACAGGCUUAGAUACCCUGGUAGUCCACCCCGUAAACGUUGGGAACUAGUUGUGGGGUCCAUUCCACGGAUUCCGUGACGCAGCUAACGCAUUAAGUUCCCCGCCUGGGGAGUACGGCCGCAAGGCUAAAACUCAAAGGAAUUGACGGGGACCCGCACAAGCGGCGGAGCAUGCGGAU